AAGAUAAUAAUCAACCAGACCCAAAGGCCAAAGUCAUAAUUUUGAUAUAUAAUUUUACGAGUGGUGUCAGUAGAAAGAAAUUAUUUAAGCAAAGCUGAACAUGAAAAUUAUCCAACAAGUGGACUACGUGAAAAAAUGUGGGUUACGAAGGACAUUCACAAUUAGUAAUGGUUAGAUCUUAACCGAACUCUGUCUGAGAGAAGCGGCGGAAGGUUACGAAGCGAAGAGAACCCGUGAAGACUAUGAUGGGGCUGGAAGCUCUAAUGACAAAGCUCACCCAAAAAGGAUUGCAAGACUUCUAGAAAUUAUGGCCCAUGGUAACUCUGACUGUGAGGAGUCAAGUGAGUACAAAGACUGUAGUGAAGACUGAAGAGCUAAGUGAAAGUGACCUUGAAGGUUAAUCAACUUUUUUCCCUGUAUGCACAAGCCUAUCAUGCACGUUUGGAUCAGAGUAACUGUAGGAAAGUACCAAGGCGAGUGUGUCCAGUUGUGGAGGGAUAGCUGGUGUUGCUGACAGUUAAGCGACACUGGCAAAGACGGUGCAGAUGGAGUGGUUUUGCCUAAAUCAUGUGCUGGCAGGAAAAUUUUGAAGGUGUUGCAGCUCUGCCAUAUGCAGCUGAGUAGCUGCUAGAAGCCUAGCUGUUUUGCUCUGCAUCAUUCAUCUCUUAUAACAUUAAAGAAAUUUCCAGUAGAACUUGGCUUGGAUAGGGUGAUGAUUGUUGAUCACAAAGUGUUUCAAUUCAAAAGAAUCUAGAAAGGAUAUUUUCUGCAAGCA